rnacentral:rRNA from 1 species
UACGGGGGGGGGCAAGCGUUGUUCGGAAUUACUGGGCGUAAAGGGUUCGUAGGUGGCCAACUAAGUCAUACGUGAAAUCCCUCAGCUUAACUGGGGAACUGCGUCUGAUACUGGUUGGCUUGAGUGCAGGAGAGGAACGCGGAAUUCCAGGUGUAGCGGUGAAAUUCGUAGAUAUCAAGCGGAACACCGGUGGCGAAGGCGGCCUUCUGGACAGUGACUGACGCUGAGACGCGAAAGCGUGGGGAGCAAACAGGG